rnacentral:lncRNA from 1 species
GGAAGAGCACAAAAGGGACGUGGCGAAGGCUAGAAUGACAACUGCCUGUCCAUUGGGGCUUGCGAGGGUGGUGUGGAGAUGCACUGUCGGGGGGCCGGAGUAUUGAAGCGGCUAACUGGCUCAGCGCGGGCCAUGUGUGGAGAGACGCUGGAGAUCCUUGCCCGACAGAGGGCGGAGACUUUGCUCAAUGAACGUCCCACCACGGGGAUGCAGGACGCAUGGAACUGCCUCCUCCGGGCGGCUGAGGACCCGGAUGGUCGUGCACAACCAACCAUGGAGGGGUGGUGUUCCUUGGGGAACGCACUCCCUUUCAAGGUCGCUGGGCAAACCAGGA